rnacentral:rRNA from 1 species
AUGGCUCAGGAUGAACGCAGCGGCAGGCUUAACACAUGCAAGUCGAGGGGCAUCGGGAGGAAAGCUUGCUUUCCUUGCCGGCGACCGGCGCACGGGUGAGUAACACGUAUGCAACCUGCCCUCUUCAGGGGGACAACCUUCCGAAAGGGAGGCUAAUCCCGCGUAUAUCGGUUUCGGGCAUCCGAGAUCGAGGAAAGAUUCAUCGGAAGAGGAUGGGCAUGCGGCGCAUUAGCUAGACGGCGGGGUAACGGCCCACCGUGGCGACGAUGCGUAGGGGUUCUGAGAGGAAGGUCCCCCACACUGGUACUGAGACACGGACCAGACUCCUACGGGAGGCAGCAGUGAGGAAUAUUGGUCAAUGGGAGAGAUCCUGAACCAGCCAAGCCGCGUGAGGGAAGACGGCCCUAUGGGUUGUAAACCUCUUUUGUCGGAGAACAAAACCCGGGACGUGUCCCGGACUGCGUGUAUCCGAAGAAAAAGCAUCGGCUAACUCCGUGCCAGCAGCCGCGGUAAUACGGAGGAUGCGAGCGUUAUCCGGAUUUAUUGGGUUUAAAGGGUGCGUAGGCGGUCCGUUAAGUCAGCGGUAAAAUUGCGGGGCUCAACCCCGUCGAGCCGUUGAAACUGGCAGACUUGAGUUGGCGAGAAGUACGCGGAAUGCGCGGUGUAGCGGUGAAAUGCAUAGAUAUCGCGCAGAACUCCGAUUGCGAAGGCAGCGUACCGGCGCCAGACUGACGCUGAGGCACGAAAGCGUGGGGAUCGAACAGGAUUAGAUACCCUGGUAGUCCACGCAGUAAACGAUGAAUGCUGGUUGUCCGGGUCGAAUGAGACCUGGGCGGCGAAGCGAAAGCGAUAAGCAUCCACCUGGGGAGUACGCCGGCAACGGUGAAACUCAAAGGAAUUGACGGGGGCCCGCACAAGCGGAGGAACAUGUGGUCUAAUUUGAUGAUACGCGAGGAACCUUAGCCUGGCUCAAACGGGAGUGGAAUGGACCAGAGACGGUUCAGCUCUACGGGCCGCUUCCGAGGUGCUGCAUGGUUGUCGUCAGCUCGUGCCGUGAGGUGUCGGCUUAAGUGCCAUAAUGAGCGCAACCCCCGCCGGCAGUUGCUAACGGGCAAUGCCGAGGACUCUGCCGGGACUGCCGCCGCAAGGCGUGAGGAAGGCGGGGAUGACGUCAAAUCAGCACGGCCCUUACGUCCGGGGCGACACACGUGUUACAAUGGGCGGUACAGCGGGAAGCCAGGCGGCGACGCCGAGCGGAACCCGAAAGCCGUUCUCAGUUCGGAUCGGAGUCUGCAACCCGACUCCGUGAAGCUGGAUUCGCUAGUAAUCGCGCAUCAGCCAUGGCGCGGUGAAUACGUUCCCGGGCCUUGUACACACCGCCCGUCAAGCCAUGGGAGCCGGGGGUGCUUGAAGUGCGUCGCCGCGAGGCGCGCCCUAGAGCAAAACUCGGUGACUGGGGCUAAGUCGUAACAAGGUA